AGUAGACCGCCUGGGGAGUACGGCCGCAAGGUUAAAACUCAAAUGAAUUGACGGGGGCCCGCACAAGCGGUGGAGCAUGUGGUUUAAUUCGAUGCAACGCGAAGAACCUUACCUGGUCUUGACAUCCACAGAAGAAUCCAGAGAUGGAUUUGUGCCUUCGGGAACUGUGAGACAGGUGCUGCAUGGCUGUCGUCAGCUCGUGUUGUGAAAUGUUGGGUUAAGUCCCGCAACGAGCGCAACCCUUAUCCUUUGUUGCCAGCGGUCCGGCCGGGAACUCAAAGGAGACUGCCAGUGAUAAACUGGAGGAAGGUGGGGAUGACGUCAAGUCAUCAUGGCCCUUACGACCAGGGCUACACACGUGCUACAAUGGCGCAUACAAAGAGAAGCGACCUCGCGAGAGCAAGCGGACCUCAUAAAGUGCGUCGUAGUCCGGAUUGGAGUCUGCAACUCGACUCCAUGAAGUCGGAAUCGCUAGUAAUCGUGGAUCAGAAUGCCACGGUGAAUACGUUCCCGGGCCUUGUACACACCGCCCGUCACACCAUGGGAGUGGGUUGCAAAAGAAGUAGGUAGCUUAACCUUCGGGAGGGCGCUUACCACUUUGUGAUUCAUGACUGGGGUGAAGUCGUAACAAGGUAACCGUAGGGGAACCUGC
rnacentral:rRNA from 1 species